GACAUGUUCUCUCGGUUUGGGCGGAUCAUCAACUCGCGGGUCCUCGUGGAUCAGACUACAGUUAUUCCGCAAACGAGGACAGCACCAAAAUGAGAAGACGUUGGCUUUGGUUUGAGGAGGCUGAGGAGGUAAGAUGGCAUUAAAAGAAGCUGGGGAUGUCUGGGCGUGGUGGCUCACGCCUGUAAUCCCAGCACUUUGGGAGGCCAAGGCGGGUGGAUCAUGAGGUCAGGAGAUCGAGACCAGCCUGACCAACAUGGUGAAACCCUGUCUCUACUAAAAAUACAAAAAAUUAGCUGGGCAUGGUGGUGGGCGCCUGUAGUCCCAGCUACUCGGGAGGCUGAGACAGGAGAAUGGCAUGAACCUGGGAAGCGGAGGUUGCAGUGAGCCGAGGUCUUGCCACUGCACUCCAGCCUGGGUGACAGAGCGAGACUCCGUCUUUUAAAAAAAAAAAAAAAAAAAAAAAAAAAAAUCUGGGGAUUAGGCCAGCAUUUUAUGUACAGUGAAAACACCAAGAGAUUCUAGCACUUUCCCUUAGGCACCCAAAUGUCCUGGCCUUGCCCAUGAAUGGGGUGAAAAGGUCACUGCAGGCUGGGUGUGGUUGCUCACACCUGUAAUCCCAGCACUUUGGGAGGCCGAGGCGGACGGAUCACCUGAGGUCAGGAGUUCGAGACCAGCCUGGCCAACAUGGUGAAGCCCCAUCUCUACUAAAAAUGCAAAAAUUAGCCAGGUGUGGUGGCAGGCGCCUGUAAUCCCAGCUACUCGGGAGGCUAAGGCAGGAGAAUCGCCUGAACCCCAGGAGGCGGAGAUUGCG
rnacentral:sRNA from 1 species